rnacentral:rRNA from 1 species
UACGGAGGAUGCGAGCGUUAUCCGGAUUUAUUGGGUUUAAAGGGUGCGUAGGCGGGCAUUUAAGCCGGCGGUCAAAUGUCGGGGCUCAACCCCGGCCUGCCGUCGGAACUGGGUGCCUUGAGUGGGCGAGAAGUAUGCGGAAUGCGUGGUGUAGCGGUGAAAUGCAUAGAUAUCACGCAGAACUCCGAUUGCGAAGGCAGCUUACUAAGCCAUAACUGACACUGAAGCACGAAAGCGUGGGGAUCAAACAGG